rnacentral:rRNA from 1 species
CCUACGGGGGGCAGCAGUGGGGAAUAUUGCACAAUGGGCGCAAGCCUGAUGCAGCCAUGCCGCGUGUGUGAAGAAGGCCUUCGGGUUGUAAAGCACUUUCAGUUGUGAGGAAAGGGAUGUAGUUAAUAACUGCAUUCUGUGACGUUAGCAACAGAAGAAGCACCGGCUAACUCCGUGCCAGCAGCCGCGGUAAUACGGAUGGUGCGAGCGUUAAUCGGAAUUACUGGGCGUAAAGCGUGCGUAGGCGGAUGAUUAAGCGAGAUGUGAAAUCCCGGGGCUCAACCUCGGAACUGCAUUUCGAACUGGUCGUCUAAAGUAUUGUAGAGGGUGGUGGAAUUUCCAAUGUAGCSGUGAAAUGCGUAAAGAUUGGAAGGAACAUCAGUGGCGAAGGCGGCCACCUGGACAAAUACUGACGCUGAGGCACGAAAGCGUGGGGAGCGAACAGGAUUAGAUACCCUGGUAGUCCACGCCGUAAACGAUGUCAACUAGCCGUCUGUUUCCUUGAGAAGUGGGUGGCGUAGCUAACGCGCUAAGUUGACCGCCUGGGGAGUACGCCCGCAAGGUUAAAACUCAAAUGAAUUGACGGGGGCCCGCACAAGCGGUGGAGCAUGUGGUUUAAUUCGACGCAACGCGAAGAACCUUACCUGGCCCUUGACAUGCAGAGAACUUUCCAGAGAUGGAUUGGUGCCUUCGGGAACUCUGACACAGGUGCUGCAUGGCCGUCGUCAGCUCGUGUCGUGAGAUGUUGGGUUAAGUCCCGUAACGAGCGCAACCCCUAUCCCUAGUUGCUAGCAGUUCGGCUGAGAACUCUAGGGAGACUGCCGGUGACAAACCGGAGGAAGGUGGGGAUGACGUCAGGUCAUCAUGGCCCUUACGGCCAGGGCUACACACGUGCUACAAUGGUGCGUACAGAGGGCUGCAAACCCGCGAGGGGGAGCUAAUCUCACAAAACGCAUCGUAGUCCGGAUCGGAGUCUGCAACUCGACUCCGUGAAGUCGGAAUCGCUAGUAAUCGCGAAUCAGAAUGUCGCGGUGAAUACGUUCCCGGGCCUUGUAC